rnacentral:rRNA from 1 species
UACGUAGGGGGCAAGCGUUGUCCGGAAUUAUUGGGCGUAAAGAGCGUGUAGGCGGUCCGGUAAGUCAGCUGUGAAAGUCAAGGGCUCAACCCUUGAAAGCCGGUUGAUACUGUCGGGCUAGAGUCCGGAAGAGGCGAGUGGAAUUCCCGGUGUAGCGGUGAAAUGCGCAGAUAUCUGGAGGAACACCGGUGGCGAAGGCGGCGUUCUGGACUGCAACUGACACUGAGAAACGAAAGCCAGGGUAGCAAACGGG